rnacentral:lncRNA from 1 species
CGGCAGUAAGAUUAGGCACAUCUCCUGUUGAGGCUAUCAGAGACUCAGUAGGGGGAAAUGGUCCUGAAGGUGCGGCAGGAAAUGGCUGACCCCUCACCCUGCCCCUGCAGUGACCUCAACCCUGCUCCUGAGGACCACCCUCCCCGCUGCCUAAGGCGGACCCAUGAUCACCUCUCCAGGUUGGCCGCCAAACACCAGAGGAUGAAGCGCAAACGCAGCGGUUACUGCAACCCAGUUCUUUCAUUCAGAAGGUGAAGGUCACUUAAGCUUUCAUUGUUGCCUUCAAGUUUGUUCGAGAGAGAAUGGAUAAUCAAUAGUGACAGCACUGAAGUCCAAUCUGUCCAGAACUAGAGCUUGGUCUAGUACAGACUAAAGAUAAAAGAAAAAGAUGUGUAGCAUGUCCAACAAUGGGAAGAAAAUUUCCAAGGUCUUCUAGAAAUAGAAAUUUUUUUUUUCUACUUGGUCUAUUUGUGUGGUCUUGGCUUUCCAAAAGGGACUCAAGCUCUGAGUGCAGAUUCACAGCAAGUUCUAUAGUCUCUGUUCAACCCCUCUCUCUGCUUACCAGGUCUCAGGGCAGAGCCCUGGAGAGGCCCUUCAAUGAAUACUUACGGAAUUGCACACUAGCCCAGGCAUUUGGCUUGUCCUUUACAUUUUAAUGUUUCAGUUUUACAUCUUGAUGGAUCCACUCCAUCCUUCUCAGCUCUUACCCUACUGCUCAUGGCUGAGCUGUGAUGUACUGGGAAUGUCUGCGUUUAACACCUAUGUCAACAACCCUGUCUAGCAUCUAGGAUCACAGUAAGAAGAAACAAAGGCAUCUUGAGAAAAAAAAUACAUGAAAAAAUAUGUAAAUAUAUAUAUAUACACACACACACACAUAUAUAUGUGUGUGUACUGUGCCAUAGGCAUGAUCCUCACACUAAAUAAACAAGUUAAUAAGAUGUAAUAAAAAAAUUAAACAACAGGUUUGAUAUCAUGGUGGUUUGAAUGAGAAGUGCUUCUCACAGGCUCAUGAAUGAAUUAAUUAAAUAAUUAAUCAAUUAACUUUAUUGCCCCACCGAAGUGUUCCCUCCCGUAUCUCCUCCCAGUCCUUCCCCCUGGCCUUGAACUUAGAAAUCUGCCUACCUCUGCCUCCCGGGUGCUGGGAUUAAAGGCAUACACCACCACAUUCAGCUUGAAAAUAUUUUUUGAACACAUUAAAAAAUGUAACAUAAGUCUUUGACUUUUCCUAGAAGAGAAACGCAUCAGAGAAGUUAGAUUAACUCAGCAGGUAUAAUAAUAAGCUCAUACAAAUUGAAGUAAAAUACAAAAAAGUAGGGACAUUAAUGUGAGACCAGAAUGUUUUCAAGUCUAGAGCAUUGAUUAAUUUGAAUAUGCAGUAAAAAUCUACAGGCGUUACAUGAAAGCCACAGCUGCAAAGAGAACCUUGAAAGUUCUUACCCUGUUCUAAACUACAAAGACUCUGAGAAAACAUUAUGGGUUGAUUGGGUUUUGUUUUGUUUUAUUUUGUUUUGUUUUUUGCUUUUUUAUCAUUUUUGCAUCAAACUUAGAAAACAACUGCAAAAGAGACACUCUGAAAUCCACAGAGGCAGAAAAGUGAAGAUGUUUUCUGAAGUAGCUUGAAGAAGAGAAACAGUGCUUGUUUUAUCAAUGGGGGUCACACUCAGCCACCCUUAUCUUCUUCCCCUGCACCCUAGAUCACCCCAAAGCAGCAGAGUCAUAUGGAAACCAAGAUCACCUUAUCAGCGAAGUCCAUAAUUGCAAGGGCUGAUGUGGGUGUGAUGGCUAAUGUUGGUUGUCGACUUGGCACACUUGGGAAGAGGGAACCUCAUCUGAAAAUUGCCUUCAUCAGACCUGUUUGUGGGACAUGAGUGUUAGUUGUUGGAGGAGGGAUUAGUCCACUAUGGGUGGUGCUACCCUUAGGCAGAUAAGUUUGGGAUGUAUAAGGAGGGAAGCUGAGCAUGAGUCUGGGAGCCAGGCAGUAAGCAGCACUUCUUCAUGGCUUCUGCAUUAGCUCCUGCCCUGAGUUCCUGGCCUGACUUCCCUCAGUGAUGGAUUGUAGCUUGAGAACUGUAAGAUGAAAGAAAACCUUUGCUCUUUGGACAAAAGACAAGUACAACAAUAUCUCUCAAGGCAAAGUGAGGCUUGCUGCAAAAUCCUCCUUUUGGGUGUUAGAGCAGAGUACCAAUUCUUUGUUUCAGUCUUUUUGUCUGAAUUCCUUCUGAACAGAACCUAAUGCCCUCCAAGGAGAUGAGAGACCUCAAAGUGAACAGGGAGAUUCUGUGUCAGCGCGGCAGGACAGCAGCGCAUGAGGGACUGUGCAAAUACUUAUGCCGUCAUACUUUCUCACUAAAUAAGAAGAAUUAAAAUAACUCACUCAUUUAUUUAACAACAGCAAAAACCUAGAAAAAUAACAAUCGAAUGAACAAACAACAA